rnacentral:lncRNA from 1 species
CUGAAACCAAAGAAUUUAGAGCAAAUCUGACAAUUAAAUUGUUUAUCAGGUCAAGAUCUAUCUGCCCUGAAAUUUUCAGACAAAUCGGACAACCUUUUGGGUUGCUGCUCCCAAAUUUGUAAUUUUAAGGAAAUUUUGCAGACUUUGGUUAUUAUCUUGAAGAUUAUUAUAGAUAGAGAUAAACUGUAAACAGCAAUAAUGUUCAGCAAAAUAAGAUCUACAAAUAAGUCAACAUGACCAAAAUUGUCAAUUGACCCCUUAAGGAAAUAUUGCCCUUUAUAUUCAAUUUUCAUAAAUUUUUGUAAAUUUUUGUAAAUUUAAAAAGAAACUUUUUCCACUGUAAUUACUCAGCCAAGUUCAUUAUAGUCUAGAUAGAUCUAGUUGUAGCAACAAGAAUGUUCAGUGAAGCAGGACUCAGUAAGAUCUACAAACACAUCACCAUCACCAAAACACAAUUUUGUCAUGAAUUUAUCUGUGUCCAUUGUUUAAUAUGCACAUAGGCCAAGGUGAGCGACACAGGCUCUUGAGAGCCUCUAGUUUUUAAUCAUGCUAAUUUUAUGUGAUACUUGUAGUAAAGCUAUAUAUUUAGGAUUAUCAACAUAAAAUCAAUGGUUAGUAAAGAAAGGCAAGACACCUCGGAGUGUGCACUCUAACAUUAUAAUAAUGGUUUAAGGUGGACAAUAAUUUGGAUCCAGCAGCAAAAAUUGUGUAAACAUACAUUAUAGAUAUAUAACAUUACUACAUUAAAUAAGCUAAACAUACAAAUCAAAUGACACCAAUGUUUUUGUAGUUCAUAGUAAAUAAAAUCUGUUACUAUAGCAUAUAACACAAUAACAUUACCAU